rnacentral:rRNA from 1 species
UACGUAGGUGGCGAGCGUUGUCCGGAUUUACUGGGCGUAAAGAGCGCGCAGGCGGUCGUACAAGUCGCGUGUGAAAGCCCCCGGCUCAACUGGGGAGGGUCACGCGAUACUGUUCGACUCGAAGGCAGGAGAGGGUAGUGGAAUUCCCGGUGUAGUGGUGAAAUGCGUAGAUAUCGGGAGGAACACCAGUGGCGAAGGCGGUUACCUGGAGCUUUGCUGACGCUGAUGCGCGAAAGCGUGGGGAGCGAGCCGG